UGAAAGGCAGGCUGUCCUGUUCUGUGUUGUCUUGCUUCUCCCCCUCAGGCCUGAUCCAAUGUCCGGUGGUACUGCUUUGGUUUCUCCAGUGUGACGAGCCUGACUGAAGGAGAGCAGGUGGCUGGUCACCAGCAUCCUCCCGCUAACUCUCACCUGCCCACUUGCAUAUGACCUCAGUAGUUGAUGUGGAAGUACUCAUGAUUAUACUCACGAAUCCUGGUGUGCAUAAGGUGUGCCAGGCUGCUCACAAGACACCAUGGUACGAGAAAGGAUUUCUCGUAGUCACCUAGACACCAGGUUUAUGGCUGUGUCGCAGCAAAGUUGGGUGUGACUUAUGAUUUUCGUUCUGAACCUUAUUUGUUAGAUAGGUCCUGGAGUCCUUAAAACACGCAGGUGAAAGUCAGGGAGUAGGAGCCAUCAAAAUUCGACUCUGGUGGGACUCGAACCCACAACCUUUGAAUGACCACACUAGGCUCAGCUAGAAGUCCAAUGCGCUAUCCAUUGCGCCACAGAGCCGGCUGCGGAACCCGGCCGCCCCGCUCACCUCUGCCUGAAACCGCCCUCUU
rnacentral:tRNA from 1 species